GACGAACGCUGGCGGCGUGCUUAACACAUGCAAGUCGAACGGAAAGGCCCUGCUUUUGUGGGGUGCUCGAGUGGCGAACGGGUGAGUAACACGUGAGUAACCUGCCCUUGACUUUGGGAUAACUUCAGGAAACUGGGGCUAAUACCGGAUAGGAGCUCCUGCUGCAUGGUGGGGGUUGGAAAGUUUCGGCGGUUGGGGAUGGACUCGCGGCUUAUCAGCUUGUUGGUGGGGUAGUGGCUUACCAAGGCUUUGACGGGUAGCCGGCCUGAGAGGGUGACCGGCCACAUGGGGACUGAGAUACGGCCCAGACUCCUACGGGAGGCAGCAGUGGGGAAUAUUGCACAAUGGGCGGAAGCCUGAUGCAGCAACGCCGCGUGCGGGAUGACGGCCUUCGGGUUGUAAACCGCUUUCGCCUGUGACGAAGCGUGAGUGACGGUAAUGGGUAAAGAAGCACCGGCUAACUACG
rnacentral:rRNA from 1 species